CCUACGGGCGGCAGCAGUGGGGAAUAUUGGACAAUGGACGCAAGUCUGAUCCAGCGACGCCGCGUGAAGGAAGAAGGCUUUCGGUAUGUAAAGCUCUAUCAGCAGGGAAGAAAAUGACGGUACCUGAAUAAGAAGCACCGGCUAACUCCGUGCCAGCACCCGCGGUAAUACGUAGGGGGCAAGCGUUAUCCGGAUUUAUUGGGUGUAAAGGGGGCGUAGGCGGAGGUGCAAGUCGGAAGUGAAAGGCAGGGGCUCAACCCCUGGACUGCUUUGGAAACUGUUCGGCUGGAGUGUAGGAGAGGUAAGCGGAAUGCCUAGUGUAGCGGUGAAAUGCGUAGAUAUCAGGAGGAACACCAGUGGCGAAGGCGGCUUACUGGACUGUAACUGACGUUGAGGCUCGAAAGCGUGGGGAGCAAACAGGAUUAGAUACCCCGGUAGUC
rnacentral:rRNA from 1 species